GGUGUUGUCGCUUAACGGUAAAGCGCACGAGAUACACCCAACGGAUUGUGAAAUAGAGGAUGUCAUGCUUUGCAUUUGAGAUCCGGCUCCGAAGCAAUCUGUUUGUGCAAUCGUGAGAUGCUAGUUCGAAUCCAGCUGACUCCU